ACGGAAGGCAGCAGUGGGGAAUAUUGCACAAUGGGGGAAACCCUGAUGCAGCGACGCCGCGUGAGUGAAGAAGUAUUUCGGUAUGUAAAGCUCUAUCAGCAGGGAAGAAAAUGACGGUACCUGACUAAGAAGCCCCGGCUAACUACGUGCCAGCAGCCGCGGUAAUACGUAGGGGGCAAGCGUUAUCCGGAUUUACUGGGUGUAAAGGGAGCGUAGACGGCAUGACAAGUCUGAAGUGAAAUCCCCGGGCUCAACCCGGGAACUGCUUUGGAAACUGCCAAGCUAGAGUGCAGGAGGGGCAAGCGGAAUUCCUAGUGUAGCGGUGAAAUGCGUAGAUAUUAGGAGGAACACCGGUGGCGAAGGCGGCUUGCUGGACUGUAACUGACGUUGAGGCUCGAAAGCGUGGGGAGCAAACAGGAUUAGAUACCCUGGUA
rnacentral:rRNA from 1 species